ACAGAGGGUGCGAGCGUUAAUCGGAAUUACUGGGCGUAAAGCGUGUGUAGGUGGUUAGAUAAGUUAGAUGUGAAAUCCCUGGGCUUAACCUGGGCACUGCGUUUAAGACUGUUUAGCUAGAGUACUGUAGAGGAUAGUGGAAUUUCCAGUGUAGCGGUGAAAUGCGUAGAUAUUGGAAGGAACACCAGUGGCGAAGGCGACUAUCUGGACAGAUACUGACACUGAGACACGAAAGCGUGGGGAGCAAACAG
rnacentral:rRNA from 1 species